GAUGAACGCUGGCGGCGUGCCUAAUACAUGCAAGUCGAGCGAACGGACGAGAAGCUUGCUUCUCUGAUGUUAGCGGCGGACGGGUGAGUAACACGUGGAUCACCUACCUAUAAGACUGAGAAAACUUCGGGAAACCGGCGCUAAUACCGGAUGAUAUUUUGCACCGCAUGGUUCAAAAGAGAAAGACGGUCUUGCUGUCACUUAUAGAUGGAUCCGCGCUGCAUUAGCUAGUUGGUAAGGUAACGGCUUACCAAGGCAACGAUGCAUAGCCGACCUGAGAGGGUGAUCGGCCACACGGGAAGGUGGACGCCGUCCUGACGACUACGGGAGGCAGCAGUAGGGAAUCUGACGCAAUGGGCGAGAGCCUGACGGAGCAACGCCGCGUGAGUGAUGAAGGUCCUCGGAUCGUAAAACUCUGUUAUUAGGGAAGAACAUAUGUGUAAGUAACUGUGCACAGCUUGACGGUACCUAAUCAGAAAGCCACGGCUAACUACGUG
rnacentral:rRNA from 1 species